UUCGGAUAAGAGGCUGAAACUCGCCUCUUUGAAGUCGGAAUCGCUAGUAAUCGCAGAUCAGCAUGUUGCGGUGAAUACGUUUCCUGGUCUUGUACACACCGCCCGUCAAACCAUGAGAGUCGCCAACACCCGAAGUCCGCUUUGCGGCCUAAGGUGGGGGAGAUGAUUGGGGUUAAGUCGUAACAAGGUAAC
rnacentral:rRNA from 1 species